rnacentral:rRNA from 1 species
UACGUAGGGGGCGAGCGUUGUCCGGAAUUAUUGGGCGUAAAGCGCACGCAGGCGGUUCGCUAAGUUCGAGGUGACAAUCACCGGCUUAACCGGUGAACGAUUUCGAAAACUGGCGGACUUGAGAGCGAGAGAGGGACAUGGAACUCCGGGUGGAGCGGUGAAAUGCGUAGAGAUCCGGAAGAACACCAAUGGCGAAGGCAGUGUCCUGGCUCGUAUCUGACGCUGAGGUGCGAAAGCUAGGGGAGCGAACGGG